UACGUAUGUCGCAAGCGUUAUCCGGAUUUAUUGGGCGUAAAGCGCGUCUAGGUGGUUUGGUAAGUCUGAUGUGAAAAUGCGGGGCUCGACUCCGUAUUGCGUUGGAAACUGGGAAACUUGAGUACAGAAGAGGAAUGUGGAACUCCAUGUGUAGCGGUGGAAUGCGUAGAUAUAUGGAAGAACACCAGUGGCGAAGGCGACAUUCUGGUCUGUUACUGACACUGAGGCUCGAAAGCGUGGGGAGCAAACAGG
rnacentral:rRNA from 1 species